rnacentral:rRNA from 1 species
AACGAACGCUGGCGGCAUGCCUAACACAUGCAAGUCGAACGAGACCUUCGGGUCUAGUUGCGCACGGGUGCGUAACGCGUGGGAACCUGCCUUUAGGUACGGAAUAACUCAGAGAAAUUUGAGCUAAUACCGGAUGAGGUCUUCGGACCAAAGAUUUAUCGCCUUUGGAUGGGCCCGCGUUGGAUUAGCUGGUUGGUGGGGUAAAGGCAUGCCAAGGGGAGGAUGCAUAGCUGGUCGGAUAGGAGGAUCAUCCACACUGGGACUGAGACACGGCCCAGACUGCGACGGGGAGCAGCAGUGUGGAAUAUUGGAGAAUGGGGGCAAGCCUGAUCAAGCCAUGCCGGGUGAGUGAUGAAGGCGGUAGGGUUGUAAAGCUGUUUGACCCGAGACGAUAAUGACAGUAUCGGGAGAAUAAGCACCGGCUAACUACGUG